UACGUAGGGUGCAAGCGUUGUCCGGAAUUAUUGGGCGUAAAGAGCUCGUAGGUGGCCUGUCGCGUCGGCUGUGAAAACUCGGGGCUCAACUCCGAGCUUGCAGUCGAUACGGGCAGGCUAGAGUUCGGCAGGGGAGACUGGAAUUCCUGGUGUAGCGGUGAAAUGCGCAGAUAUCUGGAGGAAUACCGGUGGCGAAGGCGGCAUCCUGGACCGACAUUGACGCUGAACGGCGAAAGCUAGGGGAGCAAACGGG
rnacentral:rRNA from 1 species